rnacentral:rRNA from 1 species
UACGGGGGGGGCAAGCGUUGUUCGGAAUUACUGGGCGUAAAGGGCUCGUAGGCGGCCAACUAAGUCAGACGUGAAAUCCCUCGGCUUAACCGGGGAACUGCGUCUGAUACUGGAUGGCUUGAGUUUGGGAGAGGGAUGCGGAAUUCCAGGUGUAGCGGUGAAAUGCGUAGAUAUCUGGAGGAACACCGGUGGCGAAGGCGGCAUCCUGGACCAAUAUUGACGCUGAGGAGCGAAGGCUAGGGGAGCAAACGGG